CAACCUAGCCCCAGCGCUGCUCACCCCAUUCCUCUUCAUAAUCUCAGUUAAAUCCAUCGUCAUGGGACCUUCUUCCUCAGACCUUCAUGUGUACGUUACCUUUUCAUCUAAAUUAGGAUCAGGGUUCUGAAAUUAAUUUCCCCCCAAUUUUCCCUCUCUCUUUGCAAUGGAAGAACAUCCAUCGUCUUCCUCAUCUUCUUCUUCUGCUGCUGCUUCGACCAGUAGGAAUACUUCAGGCGGUGCUGCUGUUGCUGCCACUGCCGCUAUGACGUUUGAGAGCUUCGCAGGUUCGGGAGGAGGACGAUGACAAUCAGUGCUACCAACACACCCAUUUCUGGCAUCCGGAGCUGGAGCAAAACCACGAAAUCGGCACUUCGUACGGUGGUAAUAUGCCGAUGAGGUGUCAACAUGAUUACAGAUGACACGUGGCGUGGUCCUGCAUCAUCGUCCUCCUCACCUUCUGGUUCUUCGGCCUGCUGCUUUUGCGGUGAGGAAUUCGAAGGAUAUGUGCUUCUGAGCAAUUCCUAGGCACUAAUCACUCACCAUAUCCUUUUCCACUUACUGGGAUUUUCUUAGUUUGAACUAUUUUCUUCAGUUUAAUUCAAAACUUAAUAGUUAUUUAAAGUGUUUUAUCCAGUUUUUACAAUUACUCUCAUAAAUUGUACCUGAUUUGUGGUUCGGUAGGAUUGAGGUGAUGGGGACGAUUCGUGAGGUUGCAGCCAUAAGAUAUAGGGCCUACGCGCGGGGUUUAGGGGUUUCACGGGGGGAGAGUUCCAGAGGGAGGGGGUGCACACGUGAAUUGCAGAGGGAGAGGGAGAAGGAGAAAGAGGGGGAGUAGGGUUGCUGAUUUGCUAUAUUCAAGUUCUUUAUUUAUUUAUUUAUUUAUUUAUUUAUUUAUUUUUGUUUUUUGUGACAGGUUGAGAAUGUGAAAGCUUUGCUGGAGGUGGAGGUGAGAAGUUUAAUUUAAUUCAUGAUUUAUUGUUGUUGUUGUUUUUUUUUUUUUAACUUUAUUUUUGUGGGAUUGUGCUGUUCUGGGGAAACAAUAUUAAAUUGAAGUAAAGUUUAGAUAUUUCUGUAAUUGGGAUUUAGAGUAAGAGAUGAAGAACUGAAAGUGAUUGCAAAAUUAAAAGCUUAGAACUUUUUUGAUUCUCUCAUAAGAAAGGAUCUCCUCUUUGGCUUUCUGGGCCAAGUCAUCGAAGCUCUCUCUAGAGAGAAAGUGGCAGCAGUAGUGGGGAAGGAAGAAGGACUAUUCAUGUUUCUGUUAUCAUUUUUGCCAUUCGAAGCUCUGGGGUUUGGCUUUGGCUCUGUUAGCUGUUGAGUGUGUCAGGAAAUGAGUUCAACCAUGGAUUCAUAUACAUUGAAGUCCACAUCAAAUUUGUCUGCUCUCUGACCUGAUUGAGUGAGGGAGGAGGGAUACAGCGCAGAGAGAAUAUGACGGAAAUUGAGGAGGAAGCCCAAGCUUUCAGAGAGUUAGUGAGAUCUGAAGCCCAUGCCUGGAUGAACUGAUUUAAUUUGAGCACACAGAGCUCUAAUCUGGUGUUCAAAAAUAAGGCGGAGGCCACAAAGUUCUCAAAUCCAAGAUGAAAAGUUUGGCAUAUCAAAUCAACCUGCUGCUUUCUUGGGACUCUAAUUCUUAGGUGAGUUCUUCUGUUUCUCAUUUUAUUGAUGCUUUUUGGUUUUCCUUUCAUCUAGGUUCUGUAAUUUUCAUAUAGUUUUUUGUUCUUUUGAUGCAUUUGCUGCUAUGAUCUUCUAACUGCUGAAGUUUCUUCAGUCUGGAAUUCAGACAGGCAGGAUGCGGAUACUUCUGACUUUAUUGAGGAAUUUAGUAGUCCCCAUCAUCAUCAGUUUGUCUGCUAUUGCAGUUAGAGAAGCAUUCCACAGAAGAAGGCGGGGUUACACCUUCAGUUUAUUCGUGCAAAGAACCAGUAUGUCCAAAAAUAUAUGUUACUCGAUUCUUAAAAACUUUAUGGCAUGACAAAAUAAAUUUACAAAUUGCUAAUUUUUCUGUUUUGUAUAAAAUCUUUGUUCACUCUACCUGAAUAGGUACACAUGUUAAGUUUUCUUUCAUCUUAUCUUUGGCACAGAAAGCACCAUCAAAAUUUAAACUUUUUUUUUUUUCAUUCGGCUGUUGAGGAAGGGAUUGUUGUUGGUGGAUGAAACCUUUAGGUAAUUAUCUGUUGCUUAUUGAACUCCCCCAAUCAUGAGUUUUGACUCGGAAGAAGAUUUUGAUGAUGACAGAUACUGAAUUAAAUUUUGGCUCAAAUUGUAUUGAAAAUUGCAGUUCGGAGCAAUUUUUAUGAGGAAGAAGGAUGAGUCCCAAACAUAUGUAUGAAUUUAGUCAAUUUCUACAUGCUCCAUUCAGUAGAUGAAUUGUAAACAUAUGAAUUUCAAGCACCUGAAUUGAAUAGAUGCUUUUAAUUCUUCUCUCAUCUAAACCUUAGAUUUUUCUGCAAUUUUAUUUCUAUGUUGUUUAUAUCAUUGUUGUUUGAAUAUAUGGUUAAACUUAUUUCAUUAAUUCUUGAUGCCGUGUGUUGAUAAUCCUGGAAAGGUAGGGGUGCGAUGGUCGUUUUAGUCUGUAGGGUUUCGAACGGAUUGGGUGGGUUAGGGAGACUUUCAUUUCCUUUCUUUCUAUGAGCUGCAGAGGGACUCGGUGAAAGCAUGCCGUCAGGAGAGAGAGCAGGAGGGAUAGAGAUAGGGAUUUGGUGAGAGGAAGGCAUGCGGCUUGCAGAGAGGAGGAGGGGAGAGAGAGGGGGAGGAAGGAAGAGUGAGAGCGAUAGGGAUUUGGUAAGGGGAAGAAAUACGACUUGCAGGUAGACAGAGUCAUAGGGGUGUACGAUUCAAGAGAGAGAGAGAGGAGAUUGAGUCGUUGCAUCACUCUCACUACCUGCACUCUUGAGCCAUGAAGGCCUGAGAUUGAGGACAAAGGCCAUGGUUGCACAGAAUGACUGAGAUUUGAAGCCCAUGACAGCCUCAGCUGAUUGAGGUGAGGAGUCGUUUUCAAAUCUUUUGUGCUUUAGGAUUAAGUUUACAAACUCUAUUCAUAUCAUGCAGCUUCAAAUUUGAAAUUGUGAUUUUGGUCAGCAAGAAUUCUAGGGUUUGUGACGUUUGUGAGGUUUACACAUUUUAAAUCUCCUUUUGUCUUCCAAUUCUCUCUACUUUAUUGUUAUGUGAUGUAACUCUUAUUCUGUAUAUUUUACUGACCAAUCGAAUGUGCAAAGAUAGCGAUUGAAGCCUUUUGUUGCUGGGAGAUCGUUUAGAGUUUGAGUCUGCUGAGUUCUGUGGAUUCACUCAACUGCAAUCAUCUCUUCUGCAAGAUUGGAGAGGAUUGAGAGGCAGAUGAGUGAGACUUCUGAUGGUUACACAGAAAUAAAUGGUCUCUCGCAUCUUGAACCAGAUUACUCUGGGUUUGGCAGGUAUAAAUAAUUCUAGCCUUUUUUUAGAGGAACUACGCUUUCCAUAUCAAUCAGAAUAUUCUGUUAUUAGAAGCAAUUACAUUGAGUUAGGCCAACUAAAAUGGCUGGACAGAAAAAAUGGUCCUAAUUGUUCACUCUCUAAUGAUGUUGGCAAGUAACGUUGAUUGUUAAAAACGCUGGUGGUGCUUCUGUUUUCCACAAUGUAAGCCUAAGAUUAUGCGAUGGUGCUCAAUGUAAGCCUGAAAUAAUGUUGUCAAGUGCUAUACUGAAGCUAUCAGAUUGAACAUGAUGUGUGCAACUUAGAUUGCAACCAUGCAAUUGCUUACUUGGAGCUUCUAAUUCACAAACUGAGUGAAGGUCACAAUAAGUAUUAGUCACUACGAGAGUGUUGGACUAUCCUCAUUCUGGAACCAGGUUUAAGAGGCCCCUGACAAUGACAUUGAAACGGAUUUAUUCUCUACGAUUCUCUGGUUAGGGUAAGCAUUUUGGUGAGCUUUGAUUUUCUGAGGGUAAGCUCUUAAUCUUUCCUCUAUCGUUUUGUAGUUCAUCCUAUUGUUUUAAUUUAGAGCUAUUUUAAUGCUUUUAUGUUUGUCGUUCCGUGCUGGGAAAUUGGAAAGCUCUGGAAACAAUAUAGUUCUUGAGCUAAUGUGAAGAUUUUGGGUUGAACAUUGUGCUGUGAAGAUAUUGGGUUUAAUAUUUGAUUCCGUUUUUCAUUUUGCACUUACAAAAAUAGAGGAUUGUGGUUAAUUAUUGUGAUGUGAAGCUUCUAUUUGAUGUCGACUUAAUGAGUAGCGAUGUAAAUUAAACUACGUAUUUUAUGGAUCAAUUCACAUAUCUCUUGCUUUUUCUUUCA